GGACAGGGCCGUAGCUCAGUGGCAGAGGAGCUGCUUUGCAUGCAGAAGGUCCCAAGUUCAAUCCCCAGCCUCUCCA